GCCAGAGCGGUGUUAAGAUUACCUAGCUUUAUAUCUCUUUGAUGUUCCUCGACUCUCGUUCCAAUCGUCCUUGAUGUCGCUCCAGUGUGCGCUGUCUCUUUGCACGUGUUGUUCUCCCUUGGGGGUGCUCUGUGUGCGCCUUUUUUCUCGUGCUGCUCCAGCGGGUCUUUCUCGUUCCGUAGUGUCUCGGGGGCCGUUGGGUUCCUUUCAGUCGCUAUUCGUUUCCGAUCUCUUUUGGCCAGCUUGCGCACUGCCUUUAGAUUCCUGGGGUGGUGGGGCACCGGUGGGUGCUGUUCGCCUCUUUCU
rnacentral:lncRNA from 1 species